UACAGAGGAUGCAAGCGUUAUCCGGAAUGAUUGGGCGUAAAGCGUCUGUAGGCGGCUUUUUAAGUCCGCCGUCAAAUCCCAGGGCUCAACUCUGGACAGGCGGUGGAAACUACCAAGCUGGAGUGCGGUAGGGGCAGAGGGAAUUUCCGGUGGAGCGGUGAAAUGCGUAGAGAUCGGAAAGAACACCAACGGCGAAAGCGCUCCGCUGGGCCGACACUGACACUGAGAGACGAAAGCUAGGGGAGCGAAUGGG
rnacentral:rRNA from 1 species